UACGUAGGGUGCGAGCGUUGUCCGGAAUUAUUGGGCGUAAAGAGCUCGUAGGCGGUUUGUCGCGUCUGCUGUGAAAACGCGAGGCUCAACCUCGCGCCUGCAGUGGGUACGGGCAGACUGGAGUGCGGUAGGGGAGAUUGGAAUUCCUGGUGUAGCGGUGGAAUGCGCAGAUAUCAGGAGGAACACCGAUGGCGAAGGCAGCUAACUGGACCGUAACUGACGCUGAGGCGCGAAAGCGUGGGGAGCAAACAGG
rnacentral:rRNA from 1 species